UACGUAGGGUGCGAGCGUUGUCCGGAAUUAUUGGGCGUAAAGAGCUCGUAGGUGGCGGGUCACGUCGGGUGUGAAAGCCCGGGGCUUAACUCCGGGUCUGCAUUCGAUACGGGUCUGCUGGAGUCCGGCAGGGGAGACUGGAAUUCCUGGUGUAGCGGUGAAAUGCGCAGAUAUCAGGAGGAACACCGGUGGCGAAGGCGGGUCUCUGGGCCGGUACCGACGCUGAGGAGCGAAAGCGUGGGGAGCGAACAGG
rnacentral:rRNA from 1 species